ACUCUCAUAGCUCAGUUGGUAGAGCAGCAGCCCGAUAAGCUGUUGGUCACUGGUUCAAGUCCAGUUGGGAGUACCA
rnacentral:tRNA from 1 species